rnacentral:rRNA from 1 species
GGAACACAGCACCAAGCCCUCCCCUGCACCCUACUCCCUACCCACCUAGCCGGAGGAGAACCGAAGUCGCCGCUGCCGCCGCUCGCCCCAGUAAAAUGGACACCGUGGGUGCCCGGCUGAGCCGCUCCUCCACGCGAUAUGGCCCCGUCGGCAGCAGCAACGCCUCCUUCAGCGGGCCCGUCAGGAAGUGGCGCAAGGCGUGGGUCCCUCUCGCCGGCGGCGGCGCGGGGUCCGCCUCCGCCGGUAUGGGCCCCAUUGGGUGCCCCAGGGGUAACAAGGUGGUGCUGCUCAAGUGGGCGCCGGUGAGUGGCGCCGGCGACGGUAACGGCAAGGAGGUCGCCUCGGCGGUCACCAGACGGCGAUACGUUCCGGUUUCGGGUGUGCCACAGAACCCUACCAGAAAAGGCGGCAGCACCGAGCUGAACUUGAACCUCGGUUUGGAGGACCCGGAUGAUGACAGCGACGCUGAUUUGAGCCCAGACGAACAGCGUGACAUGGGCAGCACCCCGCGUUCGGAGAACCGACUGAAGAGGAAAGUGUUUUAACCGUCGACCUCGGAUACUAGAACCUAAGCAGCAGCAGCAGCUCCAUGUUCCACAUGAGUUCUGCACCAUCUUUGCGAUGCGAGGUCCCUGGAGUAGCCUUAUUAUUAUUAGUGUGUAGCUUCUAUCUGCUGUGCUCCCGUGUUUCAGUAGAUGAAUUGAUGUUGUUUCAUGCCAAUUGGGAGGCUUAUCGCCUUGUUAUUGUUGUAUUAAUGUCAUGAACUUGUGAGGA